GGAACGAACGUUAGCGGCGCGCCUAAUACAUGCAAGUCGUGCGAGAAAGGGCUUCGGCCCCGGUACAGCGGCGCACGGGUGAGUAACACGUAGGUAAUCUUCCCUCGAAUGGUGGAUAACCCUCCGAAAGGAGAGCUAAUACAGCAUAAGACCACGACCUCGUUGAGGUUGCGGCCAAAGCAGGCCUCUACUUGUAAGCUUGCGUUUGAGGAUGAGCCUGCGGCCCAUCAGCUAGUUGGUAGGGUAAUGGCCUACCAAGGCAAAGACGGGUAGCUGGUCUGAGAGGAUGAACAGCCACACUGGAACUGAGACACGGUCCAGACUCCUACGGGAGGCAGCAGUAGGGAAUCUUGCGCAAUGGGCGAAAGCCUGACGCAGCGACGCCGCGUGAGCGAUGAAGGCUGGUUGUAAGCUCUGUGGGAGGAAGAAGUAAGGCAGGCUAAUACCUGCUUGAUGACGGUACCUCUUAGCAAGCACCGGCUAACUCUCGUGACCG
rnacentral:rRNA from 1 species